AAAAAAAAAUGAAGAAAACGCUUUAAACAUUAAAAUAUAGCAGCAAUAGAUCAGAAAGAGAAUACAUAUAAGCACAUACAAACACGGAAGAUCUGUUUGGUUAUUGGAAAAAAACACAUGCCGGAAACCCAAGACGGUUUCCAAAAAUUAACAAUCUAAUUAAGAAAAGAUCUAACUACAAUAAUUUAGCUAAAAUUAGCACUUCCAAUACAGUACUUAAACCCCCCAGAACAGUAAAAAUAACAAAACAAAGAGAAAGUCAAAACAUUUCUUCUAAUUUCCUCAAUUUUCUCAGCAACCAAGCAGAACACAAGGAGAGAGAGAGAGAGAGCUUACCAGAGAAAACCGAGUUGAG
rnacentral:misc_RNA from 1 species